UACGUAGGGUGCGAGCGUUGUCCGGAAUUACUGGGCGUAAAGAGCUCGUAGGCGGUUUGUCGCGUCGUCUGUGAAAUCCCUCGGCUUAACCGGGGGCGUGCAGGCGAUACGGGCAGACUUGAGUACUACAGGGGAGACUGGAAUUCCUGGUGUAGCGGUGAAAUGCGCAGAUAUCAGGAGGAACACCGGUGGCGAAGGCGGGUCUCUGGGUAGUAACUGACGCUGAGGAGCGAAAGCAUGGGUAGCGAACAGG
rnacentral:rRNA from 1 species